UACGUGGGGUGCGAGCGUUGUUCGGAAUUACUGGGCGUAAAGGGCGCGUAGGCGGCGUGUCAAGUCAGGCGUGAAAGCCCCGGGCUCAACCUGGGAACCGCGCUUGAGACUGGCAUGCUCGAGUUCGGGAGAGGAUGGUGGAAUUCCCAGUGUAGAGGUGAAAUUCGUAGAUAUUGGGAAGAACACCGAUGGCGAAGGCAGCCAUCUGGACCGACACUGACGCUGAGGCGCGGAAAGCGUGGGGAGCAAACAGG
rnacentral:rRNA from 1 species